GUGGACGUCAGGUUGAGGGUUGCUUUUGGGGUUCGUUAUACAUGAUUUCUACAAGUCGCUCCCUUCUCUUUCCAUGGUUUCCGUCUGUCUAUUUUCGUUACACCAUUUUACAACAUGUCCCGCCCACAACACAUGCGUGACUGCUGAAGGGGGAAAGGUAACUGACACGAUUUGACUUCAGACUCCAUUUGGAAGAGCUUCCGGUAGUGCCAGAGGUGGGAGGUAUGCCAGAGAGAUCAGAUAGUGGAGAAGGCGUCCUUUCUGCUGCAAGAGAGGCUGGUUAUCAAUUAUUAGAGACAACCAUUUUGUGUAAAGAGCAAAUCCAUUGUUUUCUUCAUGUGGAAGGAAGAUUGACGUCAUAUUUCAAGAAAGUCUACAUCUGUGACCUGGAAGUUUAUGUCUGUGACCUGGAAGUCUACUUCUGUAACAUGGAAGUCUAGGUCUGUAACAUGGAAGUUUCUCUCGUGACCUGGAAGUCUACAUCUGUGACCUGGAAGUCUAUGUCUGUGACCUGGAAGUCUACGUCUGUGGCCUGGAUGUAAUUCAAGACCCAAUUGAUGCCGGAAGCUCGGCCUACCAGAGGUCCCCCCCUCAACCUGAAACUUAGUAUGGUUUUUUUUUUUUUUUUUU